UAAGGAAUAUUGGUCAAUGGACGCAAGUCUGAACCAGCCAUGCCGCGUGAAGGAUGAAGGUCCUCUGGAUUGUAAACUUCUUUUAUCUGGGACGAAAACGGGAUUUUUAUCUCAAUUGACGGUACCAGAGGAAUAAGCACCGGCUAACUCCGUGCCAGCAGCCGCGGUAAUACGGAGGGUGCGAGCGUUAUCCGGAUUUACUGGGUUUAAAGGGUGCGUAGGUGGGCUUAUAAGUCAGUGGUGAAAUCUCCGAGCUUAACUUGGAAACUGCCGUUGAUACUAUAGGUCUUGAAUUAUCUGGAGGGUAGCGGAAUAUGUCAUGUAGCGGUGAAAUGCUUAGAUAUGACAUAGAACACCAAUUGCGAAGGCAGCUUACUACAUAUAAAUUGACGCUGAGGCACGAAAGCGUGGGGAUCAAACA
rnacentral:rRNA from 1 species